rfam:Ascoidea rubescens DSM 1968 unplaced genomic scaffold ASCRTscaffold_9, whole genome shotgun sequence.
GUUACAGUGGCCGAGUGGUUAAGGCGAUGCCCUGCUAGUACUUGUAGUCAGCAGCUAAGGCAUUGGGAUUUCCUGCGCAGGUUCGAAUCCUGUCUGUAACG